UUGGGGUAGGGAUACAAAACUGACUUGGACUAGAAGUCGUAUACCAUAAUGACUACUCUAACACAUUCAGUGCCUCCACUCUCUAGAGAACUUCGCCUCCAUACUUGAGCUCGACCUGUAUGACUUACCAGAGCUGGCUAGGAUCUCCAAUUUUCCCAAAGUGCAAAAGCUUGCGAUCAACUGCUGCCCAAAGCUUGAGUCGCUGCAGGAGAUGACUGCACUCCGGAGACUCGCGCUGACAGUUCGCUACAACGAGAAACACCUUCCGUUGUACCUGCCAACUGUAAAGCCUAGUCAUUUGCUUCUGGACUGCAGCCCAGAGGCACUCGCCUCCAUGGCCGUGGGAAAAUCUGGUGCGGAGUGGGACAAGUUCAGCCAUAUCCCGCAUGUCGAGGCUUAUGCAAAUGGCGAAGGCACUGAAAAGAGAUGGCACCUAUUUUACACAAGAGAGCCCUACAAAAUGGAGACAGAUGUGGAGGCAACUCGGCAGUUUCGCUUGGCGGGGUUAAUCUGAGGAGGAACAUGAAGACGACACAGAAGACGCAAAUGAAGAUGAGAAAAGGGACGACGAUGAAGAGGACGGAGGUGACGAAAGCUGAAGCUGAGGACGGAGAUUUAUGUGUUGCCAGGAUAUGUAUGUCUCCACUUGCUGCCACUGCUGCUCUACUAGAUUUUCUCUGUGUUGAGCCUGUAUGGGUAUCUCCGUCGUGAAUUGUGAUUUUUACAUUUGUCAAAAGAGUGUAGUUUUAACCAGUAGUUAAGGGCCAAAAGUGUACAACUAUCAUUCAGAAUGCAUUCAACAAUCCAGUGUGUUGUUGGCUUC